rnacentral:other from 3 species
CUCGACCUUGUGCGUUUGUGUCGAGAAUUUAUCGUUGAGCCAACACUCAGUAUUAGGGAACCGUUUUCCGAAGGCGGACACAAUGCCCCGGCAACAAGGGGACUGUGAAGGCCCGAGGUAGGUGCCCACCUGCUAGGAGCAGGUUCAUGGUAUCGGCGGAGACGGCAAGGUGGAG